GCCUGUUUUUCUGCAUUUUCAGCCUCAGCUUUUCAGUACACUAGAAGGCUGUGAGAAGAAGCACUCUCAAGCAUCUUGAAGUCCUGUUUAACAAAGCAUGAAGGGGAGGAGAGCAGCCAGAACAGGAACCCGAAGGUGCUGAGCUCCAGUCAACUGCUGUCAUGCUGUUCCCAGCUUAAUUCACCACCAGUGAUCCCAUGGUUAAUAGAGUCAUUGUGGAUACUUCUGCUAACAACUCAAACCCAUCACAAUGUUACAGAAGCAAGAUCCUCCCAGGGAUGAUGUAUUUGGGCUUUUCUCCUCUAAAUACCUUGAGAUUGUCAUUCUCCAUAUGUGUAUACAUAUGCUGUACGCUGUUUGUCACUGGUGAAAACAUCGCUAAACCCAGAGGAAGCUACUGUUCUGAUUCGGGACAUGACUGAACAGGACUCAAUGCACUUCCAUCUUUGUGCUUAUUCUCACACAAGAUGCUCCUGCUCAUACUGUUUCUCCCUUAUUGUAUUAGGAAAAUGGAAUAGUAAAUAAUUGCUGUUAUAAGUUUGUUUUAA